rnacentral:lncRNA from 11 species
UGAGACUGUGGUGUAUGGAUUUUUAUUUCCAUGUUAGGAGCCACUUGCUUCUGGUGUGAGAGAAUUGGCCAUCUGCAAGGACAUUGCCCAGGGGACGCCCAGAUGUUUUGAUGUUUUACCAUCCUUGUGGAAGGCUUCUCUUAUGUCCCCACAUGGGGAGCUGGAGCUGACAGAAGGAGCUCAUCCGCACUCUCCCCAUAUUCGAACCGGCAAUCUUCAGGUCAGACACACAACCUUCAGGAUGAAGAGGACACAUUGGGGAGCACCCUUUUGGUGUCUUUUGGAUUCAGGGAACCGUAGCCUGGAAGGUAAGUUCUCCAAGCUCUGAAAAUAGGAUGUGCCAAAUAUACAAAGGCAUAUUAAAGAACUGUCAACACAACACUAAGUAGUCAUAAUUAAAAAUUAUGUUUAUGGCAUGGGAAAAAAGACUUUCGAAUCACUAAUCAGGCAGAUUGUGUUUUGAAAAUGCCCAACUGAAAAUGUGCAGACUCUCAUAAGAUGCUGCAGCUGGAAAAAAACUAUUGACUAUCCCUAUUUAUUUAUUUAUCUGUUUAUAUCCUGGUUUUCCCUAAGAACAACAGGAAAGGGUCAAGGCAUCUGAUGACUUCACUAAAAGCACAUUAAACCCAGUAAGUAUCAAAACUAUUGUAAAGGACAUUUUGCUUUCACUUUUAGACCCUCCUCACUUUCCUGUGUAAUAAUAUGUCUAUUUGUUCUCUCUGCUUUCUUACCACAAAAAAAGAAAGAAAGAAAGAAAUCCGUGAAGGAGGAAAAGACAGAUAAGAAGCAUAUCAUCUGGAAUGGAAAUAGCUACACUGUAGUUAAUGAAUGUAAUCAAGUAAUGUAAUCAAACAACCUCAAAUGAACUGCUCCCAGGAAGUAUUGGUUGAUGUCAAAAUCAAAAAGAAAAUAUACCUAUGUCAACCAAAAACACAAAAAUGAAAGAUCCAUGGACUGAUAUCCACUGUUUCAUUUAUCCAUGUCUGACAAAAUAUGUUCUUUAGGCAUUUUCUAGCUCAAUUCCUGAUAUUUCUUAGGCCAGACAUCCUCAGUUUCAACAGGGGUUUGCUAUUAUAUGCAGUUUAAUGUAUCCACAGGAAAUCUAGAAAUAUGUCCUGUACAGAUAAAAGGGUCAUAUAUCGAUACACAUAAUAAAAGUGAAAAUAUGUAUUUGUGUGGCUGAGGUAUUGUCAAGACCCAGGCUACGGAGCACCAAUAACCAUGCGCAGAGGCC